rnacentral:rRNA from 1 species
CUUUCCCUCUUUCUGCCUUCCUAACACAUGCAAGUCGAGCGGAGCGGCGGACGGGUGAGUAAUGCCUAGGAAUCUGCCUGGUAGUGGGGGAUAACAUCCGGAAACGGGCGCUAAUACCGCAUACUAUCAGAUGAGCCUAGGUCGGAUUAGCUAGUUGGUGGGGUAAAGGCCUCCCAAGGCGCCGAUCCGUAACUGGUCUGAGAGGAUGAUCAGUCACCAGGGAACGGAGACACGGUCCAGACUCCUACGGGAGGCAGCAGUGGGGAAUAUUGGACAAUGGGCGAAAGCCUGAUCCAGCCAUGCCGCGUGUGUGAAGAAGGUCUUCGGAUUGUAAAGUACUUUCAGCGGGGAGGCGUUACCCGCAGAAGAAGCACCGGCUAACUCCGUGACAGCAGCCGAGGGAAUAC